rnacentral:SRP_RNA from 1 species
GCUGGGUGUGGUGGCGUGCACCUGUAGUCCAAGCUACUUGGGAGGCUGAGGCAGGAGGAUUGCUUGAGCCCAGGAGUUCAAGACCAGCCUGGACAACACAGCAAGAUCCUGUUUCUA